rnacentral:rRNA from 4 species
CAGCUAGCUCAAUUACCCAAUAACUAAACAAUAUAAAUAAAACAAAAUAAGCCUAACACCAAAAAUUAAAUCAUUCUUUUACCUUAGUAUGGGCGACAGAAAAGGUUACACCUGGAGCAAUAGAAAAAGUACCGCAAGGGAAAGCUGAAAGAGAAAUGAAAUAACUUAUAUAAGCACCAAAAAGCAAAGAUUAAAUCUUGUACCUUUCGCAUCAUGAUUUAGCCAGUAUAUCCAAGCAAAGAGACCUUUAGUUUGAAACCCCGAAACCAAGUGAGCUACCCCGAGACAGCCUAUUAAGGGCCAACCCGUCUCUGUGGCAAAAGAGUGGGAAGAGCUCCGGGUAGAGGUGACAGACCUACCGAACUUGGUGAUAGCUGGUUGCCUAAGAAGUGAAUAGAAGUUCAGCCUCGUACUCCCUGAAUCAAAAGAUAUAAAAAGAUAUUAGAGGGAAAUAUAUGAGAGUUAGUUAAAGGGGGUACAGCCCCUUUAACAAAGGACACAACCUUUCCAGGAGGAUAAAGAUCAUAAUACAUAAGACAUCCUGUUCUAGUGGGCCUAAAGGCAGCCAUCUAAACAGAAAGCGUUAAAGCUCAGACAGAAAUAAGUUUAUUAUUCCGACAAGAAAUCUUACUCCCCUAAAUAUUAUUAGGCCAGCCCAUGCCCACAUGGGAGAGACUAUGCUAAAAUGAGUAACAAGAAGGCCAGCCCUUCUCCAAGCACAAGUGUAAGCCAAACCGGACCGACCAUUGGCAAUUAACGAACUCAACCCGAGAGAGUAAUGUGUAUUACAACGAAACCAGGAAGAACCCACAAUUAACCCAUCGUUACCCCCACACUGGCGUGCUAUUAAAGGAAAGACUAAAAGAAGGGAAAGGAACUCGGCAAACACAAGCCUCGCCUGUUUACCAAAAACAUCGCCUCCUGCAACACAACCAAGUAUAGGAGGUCCAGCCUGCCCAGUGACUACAAGUUCAACGGCCGCGGUAUUUUGACCGUGCAAAGGUAGCGCAAUCACUUGUCUCUUAAAUGGAGACCUGUAUGAAUGGCUAAACGAGGGCUUAACUGUCUCCCCCCUCCAGUCAGUGAAAUUGAUCU